AUACGUAGGUGACAAGCGUUAUCCGGAUUUACUGGGCGUAAAGGGCGUGUAGGCGGUCUUGCAAGUCAGAAGUGAAAUUCCUGAGCUCAACUCGGGCGCUGCUUCUGAAACUGCAGGACUUGAGUGCUGGAGGGGAUAGCGGAAUUCCUAGUGGAGCGGUAAAAUGCGCAGAUAUUAGGAAGAACACCGGUGGCGAAGGCGGCUAUCUGGACAGUAACUGACGCUGAGGCGCGAAAGCGUGGGGAGCAAACAGGAUUAGAUAACCUGGUAGUCCACGCCGUAAACGAUGAAUACUAGGUGUAGGGGGUAUCGACUCCCUCUGUGCCGCAGUUAACACAAUAAGUAUUCCGCCUGGGGAGUACGGCCGCAAGGUUGAAACUCAAAUGAAUUGACGGGG
rnacentral:rRNA from 1 species